GACGAACGCUGGCGGCGUGCUUAACACAUGCAAGUCGAGCGAUGAAGUUCCUUCGGGAAUGGAUUAGCGGCGGACGGGUGAGUAACACGUGGGUAACCUGCCUCAUAGAGGGGAAUAGCCUUUCGAAAGGAAGAUUAAUACCGCAUAAGAUUGUAGUACCGCAUGGUACAGCAAUUAAAGGAGUAAUCCGCUAUGAGAUGGACCCGCGUCGCAUUAGCUAGUUGGUGAGGUAACGGCUCACCAAGGCGACGAUGCGUAGCCGACCUGAGAGGGUGAUCGGCCACAUUGGGACUGAGACACGGCCCAGACUCCUACGGGAGGCAGCAGUGGGGAAUAUUGCACAAUGGGGGAAACCCUGAUGCAGCAACGCCGCGUGAGUGAUGACGGUCUUCGGAUUGUAAAGCUCUGUCUUCAGGGACGAUAAUGACGGUACCUGAGGAGGAAGCCACGGCUAACUACGUGCCAGCAGCCGCGGUAAUAC
rnacentral:rRNA from 1 species